GGUCUCAUGGUGUAGUGGUAACACGUCCUCUGUUGAUACCUGCUGCAAAUCACUUCAGGAGGAAUUCCCUUGUUUGAAUCAAGGUGAGGCCA